UGUUAUCGUGAAGAAUAGUGAUUAACCAGAAAGCAAUAAGGUAUUAUUGGAAUAUGCAGGUUAUUGUUAUUAUCAGCAAUAAAAUAUACUAAUCACUAAUUACACCUCAAAAUAUGCAAGAAAAAAAAAAAAAGGCUCCCAAACAAAACUUGACUUAUUCAAUCAACCCCCCCAUUACAUCUUCUAUGUCGUUUAGUCUUAAGUUACGUCAAUCGGCGAGGAUAAUUAAAGUCAGUGCUAUUGCUAUUCAAACGUUUGACAUGAAAUAUUGGUCUAUAGAAAAUCAAUAAAAUAUUUGCAAAUCAAAACCCCCGCGUCCAUUCACGGUCACAGUGUAUUUGACAUUAUUUCGCUGUGCUGCAAGUUGUUUGCAGGUUGGCCCAAAAUUACUGGAAAAAUGUAUAGAAAUAGUUUGCUAAUGUCUGGAAGAUUCGUGCACUAUUCUGUCUUAACACAUGCAUGCACAUCCAGUAUUUUGUUGUUUUCAAAAUAAUUAAUAGUUUUUAAUCGUAGUCUGUCCAUUGUUUUGGCUGUCACUCUUUUGUUCUUCAAAUAUUAUCACAAAUUCCUGAGUAAAUCCAGGAAUAUCUAGUAUUGUCUUUAUAAGCUUUAAUAUCUAGGCUUCGCCUGGAGGCAAGCUUUACUGGUUAUGUUAUUGUUUGAAACAAAACGUUGGGGGGCAUAUGCCCCAAGUGUCCCAACCCCUGCUACGGCCCUGCUCCACAAUGAAAUUUAGUAAAGCCCCGUGCAAAAGUGCCAACAGACAUUUCUCGCUAAAACAGCCAGAUUUGUGGCCCAGCAAUAUAGCAGAGGGAGGGGCCGGAGGAAGGGAUAUCGUUUUCCCAAAAUAAGGUCUGGUUAACUUCGUAAGAAAGCUCAGAUGUUAGUCUUCAUAGGUUUGCCUAAAUCCCACCCCCUAGCCGUUUGCCGAAUAUCGACCGAAGUUCCGAAGAACGACCGACUCCGGAAAAUCCAAUAUGGCGGUUCAGUGGAGUAAUAACAAAGUGGAAAUACUCACAAACUUCGCUUCACAGGUAUUUUAGAUGUAAAUAACUAUCGGAAAACCAGAGAAGUAUUGACUGCAUUAAAUCUGCAAAGAUCUCUCUGAAGAAGAAGGUAAAGAACACGCUACAGAGAAAAACACGGACACCGCAUGUGAAGCUAACGCCAAGUUUUAGAAAACAGUUUUCUCUAUCUUUUAGAAAUUCCGUAUGUUUGAGAGGAAAGGGUUGACUGUAGUUUUACCGAUACGGGGUGGGAUUUAAACGGCUACGGAGUGGGAUAUUAGAAACAAUGCAAACACCUCUAUUUAACAAUUAGACUACGAGUUCGAGUUUUCUAUAAGUCAAAAAUCAGUCAAUAGAUAGUCAACGAAGCGCGUAGCCCAUAGCUGACGAUUUAAUAAUAAUUUAUGUUGUUUUUGUGAAAAACGCCGUUUUUUAUAUAUCGCUCAAUAGAUAGUGAGUACGGAAGCCAAUCAAAUUGCAGGAUAUUGGCGGACUCUGUUUCUCAUACCUAUGAAAACCCUCAGGAAUCACAAAGAUUACCACCAGUCAUCAUCAUAUCUAAAUAUAUAUUUAAAUACAUCAUCUACCGUUUUUCUUAUUAUAAGCCUUAUUCCAAGUUUUCAUUAGACUCAAUCAAAAGUACACGGUUAUCAAGAAUAAAUACGUUUCUCUCGUCCA